GGGGCUGGAAGUAGGCUUUAAGCCCUGUCAGUUCUGCACUGGAGCACUUCAGGACAAUGAGGAGAGGCUGCUUCUGAGUAGGGACACCAGGAGUUCUCCAGGAGAGGGAACUGGCUGAAUGCAGCAAGCCAGGAGGAGGUCUCGGGUGACAAACGUCUCCGUUGCUGUAGGAAGGAUGGCGAAUUACGGAACGUACGGCCUGUCUCAUAGCAGCAGCAAUCAAUCCGGCCGCGAACCGUCUCCUCUGGGAUCUGGGCAUUGGUUCGGUUCGAUGACACCACAACCCUGCAACCAUGGUGCCUACAGCGGUUGCGGCGGAUACGGUGGAUAUGGAAACUUCGGUGGCCAUAGCAGCUAUGGGAGAUCAGGUUGCCAUGGUGGCAAUGGCGGCAUGGGUGGAUAUGGCGGAUAUGGUGGCCACGGAGGGUGUGGCAAUCCCAGGCCUUAUCCGUCUUCCCAGUGGGGCUCUGGAUGGGGCAACUGAAUCUCCGCAGGUCUCUGGCACCCAACGGGUACAUCGGAAGCGAAUGAACAUUCAACAUUCAUUCAUUUCCCGAGACCCUUUUACCCGCAGCCAAUUGUAGACAUCCAUCCAGUUCCCAAAUGUGGAGGGUGGGCAUCAUAAUCGCCCUGAUUUCUUUUUCAAAACGAGAGAUGGUUUGUCAGUGGUAUUUUGUUGUGUGAUGUGAGUUUGCCAAACAAUUAAAAAAAACAACAACACUGAUGUGAACUCAA